CUUGAUUUGGGUUUACCAUACUACUCAUAUACUCAUGCCAUGGUCAUCAAAUUGGACAUUUCCCCAAAACCAAAUUUAGUUGGCAGUAGCUUUAAAAUUUAGUACACAAAACAUUCAAGGACUAUAUUGUUUCUUGUUGUGUUUAAAUUGAUCCACUGUUAUUAUGGAGAUCACCCGACAUUGUAAGAGAGCAAAUUCAAUUUCUAAGGACAAACAACAUUAGCAGUUCAG
rnacentral:lncRNA from 1 species